AAUAGCUGGGAUGACAGACAUGUGCCACCAUGACUGGCUAUAGUAUUAUUUUUAAGAUAAAAAAAUUAGGAGCAACUUCAAUACUAAUCAAAAGGUAAAACAAAAUAAAUUUUAGUAUAUUUACACAAUCAACCUUAGAUAGCCAUGGAAGUGAAAAAAUCUAGAAAUACAUAUGUAAAACUUUGAGUAAAUUUAAAAGGUAAUAAUGUUGAGCAAAAACAAAAUCAAGAUAAUAAGGAUAAUAAGUCAGAGGAGGGCUGGAGCUGGCUCACACCUAUUGGGGUUAUCUCUUUCCAGCUCCUGUUCCUUAACUUUAGGUGGUAGGUUGAAAGUGGCUAUGGUGAAAGUGUUUACACUAGGGAAAUCGGCAGACACUUGAACCCAAGUCUCCCCCACCCCAAGAGUCAUUUGUUAAAUACUUACCAGGAUAUCACUGGAUAGUAUGUUUAUGAAUAUUAAAGUAUUUAAAACAACACACCAUAUACGGACUAGCAUUUGGAAACAAUACAUACCAGAUAUAGAUAACUUCUUCAGAGGAAACAGAGGAAUGCAAUUAGGGAGGGAUACACAAGAGCUGCAAGUAAAUUUGAAAUGUUUUAUUUCUUAAGCAGGGCACACGUGUUAGUUAUUGUAUACUCUGUACUUCUUAUUUUCUGAAAUAUCUAGCAAGUCAGUGACAUACAGGAGCCAGUUCUCCACAGAGCACGUGGGUGAGGAAGGGCAGGAGCUAGACAUGGUGUCCGUCCUUGUGCCACCUGCUAUCUCUGCUAUCUCUGCAGCAAGGCUAGAUCUUUGCACUCAGAUUUGCCCACAGGGAGUUCCGGACGAAUUUGUGGUAUCUCUGGCGUUGCAUGCAGUGUCACAUUUAGUUCUGAGGUUCUUCAGAGACAGUAAUAAAACAGUGAAGAGGUGAGAGAAUCUGAGGGGGGUGCCUUCACGUGGGGAACAUGCUCCUUUCCAGAGGAUUCAGCUCUCUCUCACCUCUGUAGACUGCCCAGCAGGCAGCGGGUAUUUUUGGUUACAGGCAACAAACAGAGGAUAUACAGUACAGGUGUAUAUUUUUCACCAGCUUGGGUCAGAAAGAGAGCUCAGGUUCUUCUAGAAAGCGGUGAGUAGGGAAUGUUAAGGACAGACCCACAGUUACCACCAGUCAGGAAAUGUUGGCAGGGAGUGGCUUUGUUCCUAAGGAAAGAUCUAGCCCUUCUACUGGGGAUUCUGCCAUGUUUUCAUUCUGAGGUGAGGUGGUGUAAAUUACCCUGUGUCAUUUACAUAGCCCCUUCCUCUUGAGGCAAGUUCAUAUAGCAUUUAUGGACUGGUCUGGAUUGUGUAUCUCUACCUGAUCUCCCUUCACCCUUUCCUACUGAGAUACUUAUAGCAUGCUAAGCAUACCAGGCCUGUUCUGCACACACUGUUCUCUUAGCCUGGAACACUCCACCUUCCAACAGCCCUUCUAUGUGUUUAAGCUCUUUCUGUGGGAAAACUUUCCUCCCAGCCCUCUGCAGGAGCAGAGUUUCUCUGUCUUCUAGUACAUGCCUUCAUCUUUUCACACACAGCAUGUCCAGGACUGACCUCCUUCCAGAGAAGUAUCCUGUGUUACUGUCCCAGGCUCAGCACAACCUGGCAGAGAUGUUAAAUAGAUGUUUACUAACCAAGAAAGGAACGAGAGAGGAAAAGAGUGAACAAAAUAAAACAAGGCCUAACUCUUCACUUCUCAUGACAUCUUCUCCUUUAGUCACUCUUCCUCUGUCGAACUGUCUGCUAACAUCAUGCAGAGUUCAACUGUACACAGAGAAGCAAGGCAAGAACAGAGGCGAGGGUGCCAGAUAGGAAACAGACACUAGUCAAAAACACAAAAGGCACAAUUGCAUACUUUUGUGAAACUUCAUUUUACCCCAGUGUGGUUUGUGGGAGAUAAACCACCCAAUAUACAAAGGCUCAAGGUGCAUAGAAGACAAGGGUCAGGGGUGACAACAAAGCUCAUGGUCCCCGCUUCCCCCUCAGCUGUGAGCCUCUUCUGCUCCUUCUGUGUGUGUUGCCUGACUUGGUCUACAGUCUCCUGAAUCACUGUCAAUAGCCAACUAUUUCAUGUGUGUUAAGCCUUGAAUUCUGUUCUGAGUACAACUAUGGUAGGUUCCACUAAUUAAUUAAAUUGUACUUCAUAGACUUGGAGUCAGGUCUCUUGCAUACAAGAUGCAAAUUUAUGCAACAUAUGCAAAUCACUCAUGUUCUCAAAUUCCAUGAACAAAAUCUGGUAGCCUUGAGAUAAAAAAAACCCCUGCCAAGCAUCAUCUCUCCUAAUUAUUGCUUAAUUUCCCCCCCUUGAACAUUGAACUAACACUUUCAGGCUUGGCAGAAACUGGAAGAAACACAAUGAAAGCUGGUUAAUAAACAGGAAGUUCCUUAAGGGCAAAGACCCUGUAAGCUAUUUAUUUUAUGUUCUCCAGAAGCUCCUAAUAUACUAUGAGCACAGUCUUGCACAGGGUAUAUAUUAGUCUUGACGACUAAAUUAUGGACAGUUGAGAUGAACCAAAGUUGAAAGCCCUGCAAGCUUUGCAAAAUACUAUGGCAUUUAAGACUAGAAACAGGAAAAUUAUGUGCCGUGGCUAUUUCAUGGAAUUAUUUUAAAAAUUAAUUCAAAUUAAAUAAAAUUUUAAAAUUCAGUUCUCAGACUAGCCACAUUUCAAAUGUCUCACAGCUACAUGUGGCUGUCUUAUCACGCACCAAAGAUACCGAAUAUUUCCAUUGUUACGCAGAAUCUGUCAGGCAGCACCGAUCUAGACACUUGCUACACGAGCUCUGGUCCUGGGACAGCAGGACAGCAACAUGUGGAGCUUCCCGACAAUGCAGGAUCUCAGGCUGCAUUACAGACCACUGAGUCAGGAUCUAGAUCUUAACAAAAUCUUCACUUAAUUCACCUGCAUUUCAAUGUGAGAGGCACAAGGUGAACACUUAAUUCAGCUGCAUUUCAAUGUGACAGAGGGACAAGAGAAGAACUCAGCAAGAAUAUGGAGUCAGAGAUCAGAGCUACAUGGCUGCAGUCAAGGAACACCUAGGAAUGCCAGCCAGCCAACAGAAGCUAAAAUAAUUCUUAUCAAUAAAAUACUCAAAUACUGUUCCUUCAGGCUAGUAGAAGUCACCUCAUGAAAUCUGAAGAAAUUAGACUAAGUCUGCAUGCAUCAGUGCUCCAGUCUUAUGUGUUAAUGCUGCUUUUAAGACGCUAGACCUCCACGGAUUCUAGCACAAUACAGUUGAGGACACGUGGGCAUUUGAUGAGGAGGGACAGAUGUUCUAUCCAGAGGAGUUGCACAACUUAACCUGGCUGUAUUCACGGGAGAUAGGGAAAUGUUACUAGGAUUGGAUUCUGAGGAUACACCAUCAAGCAGGCUAGGAAUAUAUACUGGUGUAUCCCACAGAAACUGACCAUGACCCACCACAUCAAUAAUAUCCUGUUAACUGGGGCUAGUGAAUAAGAAGAGGUUGCUGCACUAGAGGACUUACUAAGGCAUGUUUGCUACAGGAGAUGAGAAAAAGAACCAGGAGUCUGACAUGGAGUCUGCAAAAGGGAACCAGAAUGGUCCUAUGACUACUGGGUCUGCUGGUCAUCUCACAUAUACCACUCAGAAGCCAGAAGCCUGAUCGAGCACUGACAUGGCCAACUGAAGACAGCUGAAUGAAUGCCAGCUUACAGGCAACAUUGUAGGAACAAGAGCUCCAUCCUCCACGAGGUACAUCAGAAUCCUGGAAGAAUGGCUCUCCAAACAUAUGCAAAGAAAUGUAGCUAAGGGACGUGAAGAGUGGGUUGUGGCGGCUGUGAACAUGAGUCAUGUAGAGCCUUUUCAAGAGAGGACUUGUUGUGCAUCUGUCAGAUCCUCCAGGGAGCUGCAGACAGCUGCUUUGCCCAAGGACACACCCUUUCCAGGUUGGUUUACAUCAGUGACUCUGGGAAUAUAAAGGCCCAGCCCAUUUGGAUUGCUAUACAGCAACUUUAACUCUUGUCUUAGUCAGGCUGGGCUGCUAUAACAAAUUACCAUAGAUUGGGUAAUUGACAAAUAACAGAAAAUUUUUUCUCACAGAUAGGGAGGCUAGAAGCCAGAUCAGGAUGCCAGUAUGAUCGGGAUCUGGUGAGAGCCCUGUUCUAGGUUUCAGAUUACUGAAUUUUCCCUGUAUCCUGACAUGGCAGAAGAGAAAGCAUGCUACCACUCUGGCCUCUUCUUACAAGGGUAUGAAUUCCAUUUAUGAGGACACACUGUCAUGACCUCUUAAAGAUCUCCCUGUAAAUAUGAAUUUUGGAUGGACACAAACAUUAAGUCUAUUACAAUUGUCCUUUUUUAUUCCAGAGCUCCAGUGGGAUUUGUCAAGAAUUUUCCAGGACAGUGCAAUAGUUCAACUUCCCCCUUUGCCCAAUCAUACUAUCUUGUCUUUAGUUCCACAGCCGGAUUCCUAACAAAUAUUCUUAACUGGACUCCAUCUUGGAGUCUGCCUUUGGAGAAUGCACUGUGGAACACCACUUCUAGCCUGUUUUAUGGGUGUGAGGAAGGCAUCUCCUAUGUGUACCAGUGUGGAGUACAGUAUCAAGCAGAUCAGGAAAAGGAAAGCAGGUAUGCAGAAGGAAGAGUAUGCAGAGUUAGAUUACUAACAUAGGAAAAUUAGUUAGGCAAAUAUUGAUAAGAUACUAAAGCCAGUUUCUUCACUGUUGGAGCAGGUAGUUAUGAACACAGAAAAGGAGAAAAUUAGAAUCAAUGUAAUCUUGGACUAGUGUUGGAGGCACUGAUGUUAAUUUUUGAUUUUAAAUAAAUGUAAAUAGAAAUUUAAAAAGCAGAUAAAGCUCUCUGUCUCUCUGUUUUUGUGUGAUGUGUGAUGUGUGUGUGUGUGUGUGUGUGUGUGUGUGUGUCUGUGUAGCUAGAUGUAUCCACUAAGAACCGGAAACAGUGACAUUUUAAUAGUAAGGAGCACAUUUAAUAUUCAGAUGUGGCUUUUAAAUGGCUUUUAAAUAUCAUUAUUCACUCAAAGAACCUAGGACUCAUUGAAGAAAUGGCUGAUUCUAGGGCCAGACAACGAAAGUAUAAGAUAGUCAUAAAACAUCUUGUUCUAGAAAUCAAGUGUUUGUUAAAAUUUGUCAAGCAUUAGAGAGUGUACUCUACUGACAAAUGAGCCUGCAAUUAUUUCUUUGCCCAUGGAAGAGAUGAAACUCCUGGAUAGAUAGGAAGGACUUUGUUAGUCAUGGCAAACAAGCCGCAGGAAUUCAUGUUUGUGUCAGUCCCCUCAGCUUCCAGCCCCAUGGUGCAUGGCAGAGGUUGACGCUGUACACGAGUGAGUCUGUACCACAGACAUUACUUUCUAGUGUAGAUAGAGAGCAAUUAUGAAUCAAGACCCAAAGGAUAGUGAGCUCAGCGGAAAAGUGGACACCACUGAGGAACUCAGUUCAGGGAAGCUGAACUUUUACAAUGGGUCACAGGCAAACUGCCUGACUGCUGGUCUAGAAGGAAUUACCAUGUCUACAUUUCAAAGGUCUUUGAUAUGCAAACGUCCUUAAGAAGAUGAUCUAGAACAAACAACUCUUCUUGUCUCUGCUUGUAAUAGGUGCAGAAACAUGAGAGACCCAUCGAAGGUUACCUCUUAGCUAUGCUCAAAGAUGUUGAAGACAUGUUGAAGGAAAAUAGAAGCCCUCUUACAGAGUGCUUGCUGGCAAAAUUAGGGAAAGUUUUAGCAUGAAUAUUAAGUAUGAAGGGUAGUAAUUCACUGCAUAAAAUAGAAAACUUUGUAUCUAUAUAUGUUUAAAGAUGUAUAUACAGGGAUAGCUGGGACAAAUGUACCCCUGAUGUCUAUUGGUUUAUUGAAAGGAACAGUUAAUGCUUAAAUUUUUUGGACCAAUUUUGCAUGUUU